UACGAAGGGUGCAAACGUUGUUCGGAAUUACUGGGCGUAAAGCGCGUGUAGGCGGCCCUGCAAGUCGGGUGUGAAAUCCCACGGCUCAACCGUGGAAGUGCACUCGAAACUGCAGGGCUAGAGUCCUGGAGAGGAAGGUGGAAUGCUUGGUGUAGAGGUGAAAUUCGUAGAUAUCAAGCGGAACACCGGUGGCGAAGGCGGCCUUCUGGACAGUGACUGACGCUGAGACGCGAAAGCGUGGGUAGCAAACAGG
rnacentral:rRNA from 1 species